rnacentral:lncRNA from 10 species
AAGUUCCUCAGCUACGACUACCAGGUACCUCGGGUUCCUCCCUCCUCCGAGAGACCGCCGAGGUGCGGGCUGUGAGAGGGGGAGCGUGGAGCCUCCGAGGCCGAGAAUGAAAACAAAUGUACUGUUCUAGGGAUCAGUGUCCUUCAGUGAUGUGGCUGUGGGCUUCACCCAGGAGGAGUGGCAGCAUCUGGACUCUGCUCAGAGGACCCCGUACAGAGACAUGAUGCUGGAGAACUACAG